rnacentral:rRNA from 1 species
GUAACCUACGGGGCGCAGCAGUGGGGAAUAUUGCGCAAUGGGGGAAGCCCUGACGCAGCAACGCCGCGUGAGUGAGGAAGUAUUUCGGUAUGUAAAGCCCUAUCAGCAGGGAAGAACAAUGACGGUACCUGACUAAGAAGCACCGGCUAAAUACGUGCCAGCAGCCGCGGUAAUACGUAUGGUGCAAGCGUUAUCCGGAUUUACUGGGUGUAAAGGGAGCGCAGGCGGCGCGUUAAGCCUGGUGUGAAAGCCCGCGGCCCAACCGCGGGACUGCAUUGGGAACUGGCGCGCUGGAGUGCCGGAGG